rnacentral:rRNA from 1 species
UAAUAGUGUAUAUUAAAGUUGUUGCAGUUAAAAAGCUCGUAGUUGAAUGUUGGUGUCGAACGAGCGGUCAGCUUCGGCUGUACUGCUCUCUCGACUCCUUCCUUCUGUGGACUACGUCGCACUUUACUGUGUGGCGCUAGGACGCAGAUCGUUUACUGUGAAAAAAUUAGAGUGUUCAAAGCAGGCCGUACGCUUGAAUACAUUAGCAUGGAAUAAUGGAAUAGGACGUCGGGCCUAUUUUGUUGGUUCUAGGACCGUCGUAAUGAUUAAUAGGGACAGUUGGGGCCGUUUAUAUUCCGUAGUCAGAGGUGAAAUUCUUGGAUUUACGGAAGAUAAACUACUGCGAAAGCAUUCGGCAAGGAUGUUUUCGUUAA